AGCGAACGCUGGCGGCAGGCCUAACACAUGCAAGUCGAACGAACCUUUCGGGGUUAGUGGCGGACGGGUGAGUAACACGUGGGAACGUGCCUUUAGGUUCGGAAUAACUCAGGGAAACUUGUGCUAAUACCGAAUGUGCCCUUCGGGGGAAAGAUUAAUCGCCUUUAGAGCGGCCCGCGUCUGAUUAGCUAGUUGGUUGAGGUAAUGGCUCACCAAGGCGACGAUCAGUAGCUGGUCUGAGAGGAUGAUCAGCCACAUUGGGACUGAGACACGGCCCAAACCCCCAAGGGGAGGAGGAAGGGGGAAUCCUGCGGAAAGGGCGGAAGGCUUACGGCGCCCUGGCGGGGGAAAUGAGGAGGGUUUAGGAUUGGAAAAUUCUUUCACCCGGGAACAAUAUGGCGGUAACCGGAGAAGAAGCCCCGGCUAACUUCGUG
rnacentral:rRNA from 1 species